AAUCCAUAAUGAAAAGGCGGGAACAGUUCAAUAUGUGUGUAUCCGGCUGCAGCCAUCGAGUUCGUUUGCAUCUUUAAUUUCAGAGGUUCAACUAAAUUUUUCCUCAAAAUUGGGCCUUUCCUAUAUUGAUCUUUGAUCUUUGUUUAAUAACAUUACAAUCGCACAAAAUAGGCAUUGUUUUCUAUUUCUUGAUGAAAAUGUUCCAGUAUCAUGUACUGUUUGUAAACGUUCACUUACCUAGAACAAAAACAGAUGCAAAGGUGCUUUUUCCCUGUUAAUGUUUGUGUUAGUGCAUGCAAGUGGAAAGAGCUAUGGAACUGACCCCCGCGGGCAUUUUUCCGUCAAACAUUGCACUUGUUUUUCCCUUUCCAGGUUUAUAUUACCUUUUUUCUUAUAAAUUACAGUACCUCAUCUAUCCUUCCUUGUAGAUGGAGAUGCGUGUAUGUAUACAUGAAUUCUGAAAACAAGCUUCAGUACAAGAAAAAUGGGUCGUUCAGUACAAUUCUGAAUUAUAGGUGUGUAAACAGAUCCUGCUUACACAGUAACUAAUUAGCUAUGAUAACCAUGUUCAGACUUCUACUAACCCCAAAACUAUGUAGAGUUAGGAUUGUUACUACCUUGUUUCUUAAUAUUGAUUCAUUUUUAUGAGAAGGUAUUAAGAUGGUACAUGUAGUUGGACAUCUCAAUAUACUAUAAUGUGUUUUUUUUUUGCAUAGUACCUUGAAAUUAUGUUAGCAAUUCUGAAUUGCGAUUGUGCUUGAAACUGAAAAUGAUUCUCUAACUUCUCAAACCUCGUGGACUUGAUGCUUAAAAUACUUCCAGAACGAAUUGAUUCUUGUUCUUUCAUGAUCAGUUCAGCAAAUAAUUUUUUAGUUCAUUCCAAUUUCAAAUUCUCAUUUUAGUUUAGUCAAAGUUUCUUAUUUUAGUUCAGUACAAUAUCCAAGUUUAUUUUAGUUUUAGUUCAUUUCAAUUCUUAUUUUAGUCAAUCUGUAUUCUAUGGAUUUUAUUUGGCCUAGAUUGCUAGAUGUGCUAACUUAUUGUGCCAAGGCAAUCUAAAACAUCAAGUGCUGCUACUGUAAUUCGUUCAUUGUUUCAUGCCUUCCCGCAGAUGCGCACCCCCACCUUCCCACCGACGCCUACAAAUUAGAGUUCACUAAAAAUGUGCUUGAAAGUUCAAUUUUUACGAACCGAAUAAUUUCUUAUUUACAGAUCUGAAUCGUGCGACUUCUCCAACUAGCUUAUGGUGUUUCUGACAUUGCUCUAAACCAUUUCUCAGUAAUAUUUUGUAUGUCGCGAUGGACUUGAAGGAUUUCAGUCCAUCAAGCUAGUUGUCAAAAAGGUAUUUUUUGCCUUUUAAUGUCUAUGAUGACUUGAUUACCUAGGAAUUUAAACAUGGUAACUGUUUGCCGAAUAAUAUUUUGUAUAUAGGUAAUGUCAUUUCUACGAACAGCCAGUUCCAUUAUACCUGUUGUUCGCCGUCGAUGGUGCUGCCAUUUGAGUUUAUGUCUCUGUCCAUGGAGGCUUCCUGGAAGUUUCUCUGUUUCCAUGUAUGGUGUUCCAUGACAGAGGCCGUGACGCGUGAUGAUUUCUGGUUAGGAUUGGUUUACUUUGGAUCUCACAGUAGGAGGAUAGGCACGGCGUGCAUUCAGUCUCAGAACCUGAAACUAACCUGAUUGAGGUGGCAUUCAGUUUUCAGUGAUUAAUCUCCAUUUAUUUAUUAGUAGUUUCACCUGCUUUUUGGAAUUAAAAAGAACAAAACUUAACUAGUUUGACCACUUUGUGACUGCUAGGCACAAGGAAGGAAGGGCCACCGUCCGAGGCGACGCGUACAUAUGUACACCCAAGAGUCAGGACAGGACACAACAUCCGAUGCGGCAUACGUAGUACACUGAGGACUCCCUCAUCACUAGCAAAGACAAGAAAACUAGCAGUGUCCUCAGCCAGGUGUGCACGGUGAGUGGCUACUGAACUUGUAGGGCUGCUGCUUUUGGACUGCCCAGGAAGCACAUCAUUAUAGAAGGUAAAAUUUGUAACCUAUAUAAUUCAUGUUUGUUCUGACCUCUUGUUCCUCUAAAGCAGCCAAAUCCCGGCGCACCUGGUAGUUCAAACUUGCACCAGAUGGCCGGUGACCCCCUCUACAUGCUCCUCGAGGAUGACUUGGUAGUAGCUGGGAUCCCCUACAGUAGCCAAAUCCCGGUGCACUCAUCGCUGCUCGUGAUCCCCUCUCCUUCAGCUCCACUUCGUGACACCGCUAGUCCACAGGAGUAGGGGCAUUGUGCCCAUCAACAAAAAAGAAACAGAAGGUCAUCGAAGCAGCGGCCGCCAGCUCUCCCGCGUGAAGCAGCAACCGAUGUUGUUCUCUUUCUCAUACAUGCGCGUGUGCAGCAGCAAGCAUGACUCACUCUCUCUCUCUCUCAUUUGCACAUGAGACAUCUCUCGAUGUGAUUUGGUUGGACAGGAAGAGCAACACGGGCAGUACGGGCUGGCUGAUGAUGGCUGAUGACAAACCUGCUGCUGUCUUGCUCUAUAAUGGUCUCUGAUCCAAUGUAUUUUAAUUUCUCUGCGGUAUAGCUUGCUAUAAAAGAUGAAAUAUAAGAGGUCAUUAUGCAAAAACUUGUUGGAUCCAUGUAAGGUGAACGAGAAAGUAUAUCGAAAAAGUUUGAUAUUUUUUUUUGUUGAGGUAAAUGUGGUUGGCGGCCGUCGACGUCGCUAAAUCCCUCUACAAACUAGUGGUUGGCUGCUCCCAGCGGUAAAUGUGGUCAGGUUCGGCAGCUAGCUCUUCCUCGAGCAACCAUUUGGAGAACUUUAUUGUGUUAUUGUGGUGGUGAUUGAUUUUAGGAUCAGUAAAUUUGAUAGCUAGCUUGUGUAUGGAACCUGCAAGUUCAAUAUUGGCAUUAGAUUCAGUUCUUGUUGUACAAAUCUCCCGGUGUUCACAUUUAUUCGGGUAAAAGUUUAUUUUAGUUCAGCUACAGAAACUAUGCAGGUUCAGUGAUGAUGAUACCAUAAGUUCGAAUAAGAAAACAAAAAAUAAUUAAAAUAUAAAACUUUAAAUUCUACAAGUUCAAGUGCUCAUCCACACAUGGUAAUUCAAGAUGGUAAAAGUUGAAAAUGGUAAAAGUUCAAGUUGUAAAACAAGAGAAAUCUAGAACAUUCGUUGCAAAAAGAAUUUGACUUCAAAAAAACACGCAAUUUUUUUGGCAAAAAAUAGCAUUCAGUUCAACAAUAUAAACCAUGCAAGUUCGGGGGCUAUGAUACAAUAAACCGUUGAAAACUUACGAGGAAAAAAUUACCCAAAAAAUAGAGCAAAGUCUAGUUAGUGAAAACACGCUUAGUACAAACCCAUGAAAACAUCAGUACAAGUACCCUUUUUUCAGAACCAUUCAAAAUUACUCUACCAAAAAUAGCUCAGUACAAACACGCACAUAUAUCAGUACGAGUACUCUGUUUUUCAGACGGGAAACAGCAGGAUCCGUUUUGCCGUAUUCAAAAUUACUCUUAAAUGGUUGCGAAUUUGAGAAAAUGUUCAACAUGACUAAGUUUCGCCUUUUCGAUAGAUUUCCAACGGUAUAUUAUUUGCCCCAUUUCAACAAACUAAAAAAAUCACGUUCGAAAUCAAAUUUGACCAUAUUCGAAUUCGUUUUUAAACUGUAAGGAAUUAGAAAAACAUUUCAAUACGAAACAGUUGCGCAUUUUCCAUAGCUUUCCAACGCCGUAUCGUUUGCGUCAAUCCGACAAACCGUUCGCAAGAAAAACACGAAAAUACGUUUCGCCCAGAAUUUCAUCAUUUUUCAAAUUACUUUUAAAUUGUAUAGAAUUUGAAAAAAAACAAUAGAUAUAUGGAAGAUGCGGAUUUUUUCAGCUUUCCAUCACCAUGUUAUUUGCUCAAUUCCGACAAACCGUUUGAAAACCAAAACAUGAUUCCCGUUUUUGAUUUUGAAAAAAACGGUUUUUUCAAAACUGCUCUUAAACCAUGAUGAUUUUGCAAAAAUGUUCAAUAUAUUUGAAAUAUAGUUGUCAAGAGCUUUCCAAUGAUACAUUACACACCCCGUUCCGACAAAAAAUUGCAAAAUAAGAAGACGAUCUGUUAAACAGAAAUGAAAACACCAGUUCAACCGCUCCAAUUCAUCAGUACAACUGCCUGAAACCGUUACUUCAAGUAGGGUAACAGAAUAAUAUUCUGUUAUGCGAAACAGAAUAGGCCACAUGUAUAUAUUUUCUACAAUAGCUUGCCACAGAACUAGUUAAGGUUUUCGCUGGUAUAAAUGUUCUCAAAAAUCCUGAAACUAAUAGAAC